CCUGAACUGAUCUCGUCUCAGAAAUAUGGAUUGGUGCUUUCGCAUGGCAAUCUCCUUGUGUACUAUGAUUUUCGCCAUUAUUGCAGUCUCUAUCCGUUAAGAAAUGCAUGUAUUUGCCAUUAAGAUUAUCAUCUGUGUUGUUAUCUAGUACCAAUGGGAACACAGGAUCUGGAUCAAACCUACGUAAAAAGGCAACGACAAAUACCAGGGAUGUACAGCCAUUAUACACAAGUUGAGCUUAUAGGGCCCAUUUACACCAUAUAACUAGCUGUAAUGAUUGUCAUUCUACUGACGUCACUAUUCCUAAUAAUAAUAAAUUCCUGUCCACACUAUUCCUGUGGUGAAAUUACAGCCAUUAUACACAAGUUGAGCUUAUAGGGCCCAUUUACACCAUAUAACUAGCUGUAAUGAUUGUCAUUCUACUGACGUCACUAUUCCUAAUAAAAUAAAUUCCUGUCCACACUAUUCCUGUGGUGAAAUUUGAAAUGUCACAUCUUUACACGCAUUACAAGGAUAAGAAUCGUCUAGUCGUAUUGUGUAAAUGGGCCAAUACGUAACCUCGCAAGCCAUCUCUUUACCUCCCCAAACCCCCCCCCCCCC